rnacentral:rRNA from 1 species
GUGGGGAAUAUUGGGCAAUGGGCGCAAGCCUGACCCAGCAACGCCGCGUGAAGGAAGAAGGCUUUCGGGUUGUAAACUUCUUUUGACGGGGAAGAGCAGAAGACGGUACCUGUCGAAUAAGCCACGGCUAACUACGUGCCAGCAGCCGCGGUAAUACGUAGGUGGCAAGCGUUGUCCGGAUUUACUGGGUGUAAAGGGCGUGUAGCCGGGCUGACAAGUCAGAUGUGAAAUCCGGGGGCUCAACCCCCGAACUGCAUUUGAAACUGUUGGUCUUGAGUAUCGGAGAGGCAGGCGGAAUUCCUAGUGUAGCGGUGAAAUGCGUAGAUAUUAGGAGGAACACCAGUGGCGAAGGCGGCCUGCUGGACGACAACUGACGGUGAGGCGCGAAAGCGUGGGGAGCAAACAGG